rnacentral:rRNA from 1 species
AGCGAACGCUGGCGGCAGGCUUAACACAUGCAAGUCGAGCGGCCACUCACGAGGGUCAGCGGCGGACGGGUGGGGAACGCGGGGGGACGGGGCCUCACGUUCGGAUUAACUUAUGGGAACUUGAGCUAAUACCGGAUACGCCCUUUUUGGGAAAGGCUUGCUGCGGGAGGAUCGGCCCGCGCCUGAUUAGUUGGGUGGUGGGAUAACGGCUCACCAAAGCGACGAGCAGUAGAGGGGCUGAGAGACAGAUCCGCCACACUGAGACUGGGACGCGGUCCAGAAUCUUACGGGAGGCAGCAGUGGGGAAUAUUGGACAAUCGGCGCGGGCCUGAUCCAGCCAGGCUGCGUGAGUGAUUAAGUCCUUAGGGUUGUAAAGCUCUUUUAUCCGGGACGAUAAUGACGGUACCGGAGGAAUAAGCCCCGGCUAACUUCGUG